CGGUGUUCCUUCGCAGUUGAGCGGCUGGCUCCUGGCUGAACGAAGGCCACCGGGGGAAUGGCGCUGAGGUGCAGGACAGUUGUGUCCACCGCGGAAGACACCUCCGGAUGAUGCCGGCUGGGAGGAAGCACCUGGAGAAAGCUGAGAAGGCCUCGAGGGAGGCUGAGGACAUGGCAGCCUGUGACCCUGGCAUGCAAGAGUGGAGAGAGCUCAUGGGGCUAGAGGAGGGCCCCGAAGGACCCCACGCACACACUGUGUCUGCGCUCUGGUGCGGAUGGCUAGGGCUGGCUAUGUAGCAGUCCUGGUCUCCCUCUCUCUUCCCGCUCCAACUCCUCUCCUCCCACCGGGAGCUGGGGUGAGGUGCGCUCGGGUCCCGCCGGGCCGCGGCUUGUAUCUUACCCCCUUCGCUAGGCGCUGGGUUCUCACAGGUGUGGAUGUAGUCUGGCUGUUGUGCUCUGUCUUCUGGUCUCUCUUUUAGGGAGAGUUGUAUUUGUUGUAUUUUCAAAAAUAUGUGUGGUUUUGGGAGGAGAUUUCCUCUGCCCUACUCUUGCCGCCAUCUUAGCUCCUCCCUCUAAGUAACU